rfam:Oryza glumipatula chromosome 9, whole genome shotgun sequence.
GAUUUCAACUGAAAAAGUCAUCAACAACAAAGUUGUAUAACUCAUCAAUAUCUAUAACUUUUAGUUUGGUCAUUUCUUCAUCCGAUAAAAUGAUUGUAACAUUAUUCAUGAAAUUUAUAUAUCUCUCUUAUAGUUUAUAAAACCAUAUAAGAGAUAUGUAAAAUUUGUGAACAAUGUUACUAUCAUUUUGUCGGAUGAAGAAAUGACCAAAAUAAAAGUCAUAGAUAUUGAUGAGUUAUACAACUUUGUUUGUUGUUGAUGACUUUUUCAGUUGAAAUC